rnacentral:rRNA from 1 species
CCUACGGGAGGCAGCAGUGGGGAAUAUUGGGCAAUGGACGCAACUCUGACCCAGCAACGCCGCGUGAAUGAUGAAGGUCUUCGGAUUGUAAAGCUCUUUUCUCAGGGAAGAAGAAAGUGACGGUACCUUAGGAAUAAGCCUCGGCUAACUACGUGCCAGCAGCCGCGGUAAUACGUAGGAGGCAAGCGUUAUCCGGAAUGACUGGGCGUAAAGGGUGCGUAGGUGGUUUGACAAGUUAGUAGCGCAACUCCGGGGCUCAACUUCGGAACUACUACUAAAACUGGUGGACUUGAGUGCAGGAGAGGCAAUCGGAAUUCCUGGUGUAGCGGUGGAAUGCGUAGAUAUUAGGAGGAACACCAGUGGCGAAGGCGGAUUGCUGGACUGUAACUGACGCUGAGGCACGAAAGCGUGGGGAGCAAACAGGAUUAGAUACCCGGGUAGUC